UACGUAGGGUGCAAGCGUUGUCCGGAAUUAUUGGGCGUAAAGAGCUCGUAGGUGGCCUGUCGCGUCGGCUGUGAAAACUCGGGGCUCAACUCCGAGCUUGCAGUCGAUACGGGCAGGCUAGAGUUCGGCAGGGGAGACUGGAAUUCCUGGUGUAGCGGUGAAAUGCGCAGAUAUCGGGAGGAACACCGGUGCGAAGGCGGUUCUCUGGGCCUGUACUGACGCUGAGGAGCGAAAGCGUGGGGAGCGAACAGG
rnacentral:rRNA from 1 species